rnacentral:rRNA from 1 species
AGUAGCGAGAUGUAGGUGAGAAUCCUACAGGCCGAAUAUCUAAGGUUUCCUCAGGAAGGCUCGUCCGCUGAGGGUUAGUCGGGACCUAAGCCGAGGCCGAAAGGCGUAGGCGAUGGACAAUCGGUUGAUAUUCCGAUACCACUACCAUCGUUAUUAUCGAGGGUGUGACGGAGAAGGAUAGUGUGUGCUAGCGAUUGGAAAUGCUAGUCUAAGCGUUUAGGGAGUUACAGUAGGCAAAUCCGCUGUAACAAUUCUGAGGCGUGAUGGGGAAGGUCAUUAAGACCGAAGUACAUGAUUCCAUGCUUCCAAGAAAAGCAUCUAGAGAGAGAAGUAGUGCCCGUACCGCAAACCGACACAGGUAGAUGAGGAGAGAAUCCUAAGGCCGGCGGAAGAAUUGCAGUUAAGGAACUAGGCAAAUUGACCCCGUAAGUUCGCGAGAAGGGGUGCCUGUGAGAGCAGGCCGCAGAGAAUAGGCCCAAGCAACUGUUUAGCAAAAACACAGGUCUCUGCUAAAGCGUAAGCUGAUGUAUAGGGGCUGACGCCUGCCCGGUGCUGGAAGGUUAAGGGGAACACUUAGCGCAAGCGAAGGUGUGAACGUAAGCCCCAGUAAACGGCGGCCGUAACUAUAACGGUCCUAAGGUAGCGAAAUUCCUUGUCAGGUAAGUUCUGACCCGCACGAAUGGCGUAAUGACUUGGGCACUGUCUCAACUGCAAAUCCGGCGAAGUUGUAGUGCGAGUGAAGAUGCUCGCUACCCGCGAUUGGACGGAAAGACCCCGUAGAGCUUUACUGUAGCUUAGCAUUGAAUUCCGGUAUUGUCUGUACAGGAUAGGUGGGAGACUGGGAAACUAGGGCGUCAGCCUUAGUGGAGUCAACCUUGGGAUACCACCCUGACAGUACUGGGGUUCUAACAGGACGCCAUGAAGCUGGUGACUGGACAUUGUUAGGUGGGCAGUUUGACUGGGGCGGUCGCCUCCUAAAAAGUAACGGAGGCGCCCAAAGGUUCCCUCAGAACGGUCGGAAAUCGUUCGUAGAGUGCGAAGGCAGAAGGGAGCCUGACUGCGAGACCCACAAGUCGAGCAGGGACGAAAGUCGGGCUUAGUGAUCCGGUGGUACCUCGUGGGAGGGCCAUCGCUCAACGGAUAAAAGCUACCUCGGGGAUAACAGGCUGAUCUCCCCCAAGAGUCCACAUCGACGGGGAGGUUUGGCACCUCGAUGUCGGCUCGUCGCAUCCUGGGGCUGUAGUAGGUCCCAAGGGUUGGGCUGUUCGCCCAUUAAAGCGGCACGCGAGCUGGGUUCAGAACGUCGUGAGACAGUUCGGUCCCUAUCCGUCGCGGGCGUAGGAAAUUUGAGAGGAGCUGUCCUUAGUACGAGAGGACCGGGAUGGACUGACCUCUGGUGCACCAGUUGUUCUGCCAAGAGCAUGGCUGGGUAGCUAAGUCGGGAAGGGAUAAACGCUGAAAGCAUCUAAGCGUGAAGCCCCCCUCAAGAUGAGAUUUCCCAUAGCAUAAGCUAGUAAGACCCCUUGAAGAACACAAGGUUGAUAGGUCAGAGGUGGAAGUGCGGUAACGUAUGUAGCUGACUGAUACUAAUAGGUCGAGGGCUUGACCG